rnacentral:rRNA from 1 species
UACGAAGGGGGCUAGCGUUGCUCGGAAUUACUGGGCGUAAAGGGCGCGUAGGCGGUUCUAUAAGUCAGGCGUGAAAUUCCUGGGCUUAACCUGGGGGCUGCGCUUGAGACUGUGGGACUUGAGGUCAGAAGAGGGUCGUGGAAUUCCCAGUGUAGAGGUGAAAUUCGCAGAUAUUGGGAAGAACACCGGUGGCGAAGGCGGCGACCUGGUCUGAUACUGACGCUGAGGCGCGACAGCGUGGGGAGCAAACAGG